CAGUCUGUUCUCUCUGUUGGGUCACAAGGGGAGAGGACAAUAAGGAAUGCAGGGCGGUCUACACUGGGUACAGAAGGUGAUGCCAAGCAGACAGGAGCCCUUUACUUUCCUGGCAGUGCUCUGAGGACCCUCUUCUAUAAACAGGUGCUCUCCAGAUCUCACGGUAAACUCACAGGCACUAAAGUGGAGGGAGAUUUCAUGCAAUCGACAUGACUUCCUUUGUGGGAGUAGUCAGUAAAGUAUCCUCUGUUAUGCAAGAAAUCAAGAACCAGAAAGGUGAGUGUGACCAACAGGAAUUUGGUGACCGGCUUGGUAAUCUGACUUGAGCUGUAACAGCAGAUGGAGGGGAAAACCUUGCUUAAUGAGCUUUGGAAACAGGGCUUUUAUAUAUAUUUAUAUUUUAAAAAGGAUUAAGUAGGAAAACAUUUUCAAGAUUUAUUUUUAAUUAUGUGAGUGUGUGUGCGCGUAGUGUGUGUUCAUUAGUGCAGAUUCCAACAGAGACCAGAAAGGGGAGCUGCAUUCCCUGGAGCUGGCCCUGCAGAUGGUUGUGAGCCGCCAUGUGGGUGCUGGGAUUUGAACUCAGGCCUCUGCAGCAGCAGUUGCUGCUCUGAAGCACUGAGAAUCUCCCGAGCCCCAUGUAAAUCCUUAAAGCAAUCAAGCACUCUCCGUUCCUGAGCCAUAUCACUGUUGUUAUGCGUUUCAGCAAUCUACGUACUUUUUUUUUUAAUUACACAAGAAGUUUUAAGUAAAAAAGUAUUUUAGUCUAGCAGAGUAUUUACUUGACCAGGAUGACUUAAAAAAAACAUUUUAAAGUAAAAACUAACACAAAGGAAACACUUACAGCAAAACCUAAACUGGAUUAUAAUACUAAGGGUUGAAAAAUUAUUUGUAUGUUAGAAAUUUUUGAAUGCUAAGUAGAAUUUUCUCAAUUUUUCUGAUUAAGUAAUAUAAGAAAGGAUAGUUGCCUCAGAAUGCAUCUAGUUUCACAUCCCCUUUAAAAGUGGACGACACUGUAGCCGAGCACGUGAGAGUGCGCAUGCACCUGUGGAGACACUGUCUAGAUAUGCUAAAGCAUAUUUACAUGUAAAAUCUUGUAAGUAUAUAUAUUAGUAAUUACUUGUAUAUGUAAAGGAAACAAACAGAAGGAUAUCUACUAAUUAGAAUUGCAUUAGAGUUGAAGUUGCAAGGUAGUAUAAAAAAGUGGGGACAUUUUAAGCCCUGCAUUCUUCCUUAUACAUAAAUCCUUGUAUUACACCUAUUUUUAAAGUAUAUUUCUUAUGUGCACAGCAAGAAAUACUUUAGCUAGGAAUAACAGUGUGAAAACCCCACAACAUUGGCAAGGUCUAAGUAGUAAGAGGGAAAGACAAAGACAGACUGGGAAGACAGACGGCAGCAGCCAUAGCCGCAGCUGCCAGGACAAAGGGUGAGCCAGGGCUGCAGGGCUGAGACGUGAGUGGGACGUCGACUCAGGCGUCCACACCCAAGCCUGCGGGAUCUGGUGAAAAGCACUAUCUGACUUGUCUAUAGACAAGUCUCACUUCACACAGAGGAUAAGUGACACGUAGCACAGAAUGGAGCUAGGUAACUCGGAUCCCAGAUUCCCUUGGGCAAAAGCAAACCCACAUUGCAUAUUCUACCCUGUGCAGGGGCAGCGUGCACACAGGACAGCACCUCCAUUCCUGGCAUGCACAGGAGGUAUCACACGUGGUGAGGUAACUAACAGAAUCCAGUACGUCCAUUAUGGGACAACUGAAGUUCUCAAAAGAACACUAUGUUGGUAUAUAAUCUAUGUUUUAACUGUAAACAGCUGCUUGAGAAAUUUAAAGGCUGUGGGAAACAAACAGGUCAGUAGGCACUAUCUUGUUCCUGUGGUCUCCUAGGUUUGAAGUUCAAGGGCUAGGGGCUGGAGAGAUGGCCCGGAGCUCCAAAGUGCAGCGCCUGGGCUUGAUUCCUAGGCUGCACACAGUGCCUCACAACUAUCUGUAACUCAGUGUCUUUGGUCUCCACAUAGGCAAAUACAUAUAACACAGUCCCAUAAACAGACAGACAAACAAACCUUUCUAAAAAUUUCAAGGGCUAGAAAAACAAUGUGAGUAGUUAUUUUAUUUUAUUUUAUUUUAUUUUGUUCAUUAUGGUAAAAUGGAAAAAACAGAAUCAGAAUAAAGCCUAUAUAUUAGAUAAAAGUCGUCUUCCUAAGAAUUAUCUGGUUGUGGUGAUCUGAGUUAUCCUUUUGGUAUCAUCAAGGAAAUAAAAACAUGAGACUCUUACAGUGGCUAAGGGACGUAUUUGCAGUUGUUUUUUCAAAUAAUUCUGAAAACCAUAUGAGCAGAGUGUGCAAGGGAGUGAGGAAAAAGGGCAAUUGAGGUGACAAAGCAAAACAGUACAGUAAUUACAGCAAUCACAGGGUGAGACCUGGUGCAAUGGGUGGUAUGUAUUAGACUAAGUUUAGUAAUUCUUCUUGUAAGGACAUGACUAAGUACCCAUGUCCU